AAAGAGUCCCUAUAUUGACGUCAUACUAUGAAGAGAAGCAAGUAUAGGGAGUGAACACA
rnacentral:sRNA from 1 species